rnacentral:miRNA from 1 species
CUGAUGGACAUGACUCUACCAC